rnacentral:lncRNA from 1 species
UUAGGAGCCAUCAGCAAUUAAAAACAGGACCCACAACACAAUGAUUAACCAUGUUCUUAACCUAAAGCAGGAGCCAUCAGCAAUUAAAAAUAGGACCAAAACAGAGUAACAUUUACAAUUUUCCAGCAUAUUAGGUGUUCUGGACCAAAACAGAGUAACAGUUAGAAUUACAAAAUAGCAAAACACUAAAACAGCAAUAUUAGCCUAUUAGGUGUUCUGGAUACAAAUCACAUAACAGAGACAGUUUCUAGCAUUAUCAACCAACCCAAACAUACAUACAUGGAAGACCAUAGAUACAAGGAAUUGAAGAACAAAGAACGAAUUUCCACAGCAAUCAAAACCAUACAUACAAGGAAGACCGAAGAACAAAGAACGAAGAAUGAAGACUGAAGUCCGAAGAACGAAGACUGAAGACCGAAGAAGAAGAAGAACCAAACUUCAAGC